GACCCUGAGGGUUUCAGUAUCUCAAGAAUCAUUAUUGCAGGUUCAUUUUGCACGAGCUUGAGAUAGACACUCUACAUUAGAUAGAUACCCGUAGAUACGCAACCCACCCGAUGAUCUAGAAAGUCUCUAAAAGCCAAUUGACAGGAAACGCGAAAGUAAAGACAACCCGAGAUUCCUAAGAACCAUCCUGAAGGACUACACUACCAGUACGGGAGAGAACGUUAGGAACUUCGGAAUGGCGAUCACGCCAGUGAUGAACUUGCCAUAGAAUUACACUAUGUCCUAAGUACUGAAAAGCUCUACCUUUCCGAGAGCUUAGCACCACCCGAGAUCCUGUACGGAGAUUGGUCCAACCCUCGUCAGACCGCUACUACUCCUGGAUAUUCCACAAGUUUCACACCCGAUCGAUCCACUUCUUAGACUUGAUAUGUGUUUACCCGAUGCCACUCUUCAUAUCCCACUCAUCCAGAUAGAAACCAUUGAGAACCCUAACCUCGUAGAUACACCAGUCGGAACCCGCUAACUACACGAGACGAAAUCCGCAUCCCGUAGGUGAAGGUUUGUUGGAAUGACAAACACAGACCAGAGUUCACUUGGGAAUGCGAGGACAAAACGAAUAAGAAGUACCCUUCUGCCUCUAUCAUUCAUACCUACUUCCUUGCCUAGACCUGAAUUUCGGGACGAAAUUCCCUGUAACGAGGGGAUGAUGUGACAACCACCCAAAAUUAUUCCGUUACAUUACCCCGUUACCGUUAACGGAAUAUUCCAUUUUAUAAAAGUUCUGUUAAUUAGAGGUCGCCAAAUAAAUAAAUGUUUUAUUUAUUUAUAUUAAUGUCGUUAUAGUCAUAAUAAAAUAAGUAAAUACAUGUAAAAAUUACAUUUCCAUUUAUUUGGAAAAAGCUAAAAUUUUAUUACGACCACCUAAAUCGGGUGCGACCAAAAGCCCCGUAUAACAGCAGUAUCGGGUAGAUUUCCACUGAGCUCCAACUUGAACCCAUAUAUAAGGGGGAAUGUACUUCAUUCCACCCCUUUACACACUCUCUCUAUACUCUCUCUCAUAAAACCCGUUUUUGACUCAAAAACGCGAAUUUCCGCCUCCUAAACGUAAGUCUCUUUACCCUAACCUAUUCUAAACAUCAUGACUUGUUAUAGCCCAAAAAUCAAACUUAGAAGCUGUUGAAAAGGAGUUCACAGCCUAAGAGCAUGCUUAGGCCGUAAACCCCUAAUAAGAGGCCAAAAUGACCCAAAUUUGUCCCUAAAAGCUUCGAAACUAAUUGAGGAUUUAGCCUAGGAGUGUUUGAAGCAUAAAACAAUUAGUUUUAGGGCAUAAAAGAGAGUUUACGGCCCAAGCACAUGCUUAGGCCGUAAACACCUCUAAUCCUUGCAAAAUGCCCCAAAAACACUCCCAAACCACCCUUAGGCUUAAGACAUAAAUUAGGGACAUGCUAUUUCGGGUUUAGAACAAUUAAACACUAAGAAAUGAGGGGUAAAAAGGAGUUUAUGGCCCAAGCAAGUGCUUAGGCCGUAAACACCCCCAAACCUCACCAAAUGAUGGUUUUAAACCCCCCAAAUGGCCUCAUACUUCAUUCAUACCUACUUCCUUGCCUAGACCUGAAUUUCGGGACGAAAUUCCCUGUAACGAGGGGAUGAUGUGACAACCACCCAAAAUUAUUCCGUUACAUUACCCCGUUACCGUUAACGGAAUAUUCCAUUUUAUA
rnacentral:lncRNA from 1 species